rnacentral:rRNA from 1 species
UACGUAGGGUGCAAGCGUUGUUCGGAAUUACUGGGCGUAAAGCGAGUGUAGGUGGUUGUCCAAGUUGGAUGUGAAAGCCUUGAGCUCAACUCAAGAAAUGCAUUCAGGACUGGGCAGCUAGAGGACCGGAGAGGAUAGUGGAAUUCCCAGUGUAGUGGUGAAAUACGUAGAGAUUGGGAAGAACACCAGUGGCGAAGGCGGCUAUCUGGACGGUUUCUGACACUAAGACUCGAAAGCGUGGGGAGCAAACAGG